CAUAUCACAACAUAGAAUAAGAAUAUUUGGUAUUGAUUGAUGAUGUAAAAUGAUUGUUUAGAUCAAGAACUGGAUCGAAGUGGAGUUUAUCGAGAAAAAAGCUAAAAUUGCAUAUUAGCCCCUAAAGUAUCCAGUUUACAUAUUUUGAUUAGGUAAGUUCAUAUGGAGCUUACCACUCUAUUUUAUUUUAUAUAUGAAUUAUAUUUGAAGUUAUCUAUACAUUAGAAUUGAGUAGAAUUAGUGAAUUUGGC
rnacentral:lncRNA from 1 species